rnacentral:tmRNA from 1 species
GGGGACGCGUGGUUUCGACAGGGGACGUCACCGCGAGAUUGCAGGUCGAGGUGCCACCCACCUCGUUAAUCAGGUGGCAAAAAAGUAACUGGCGAAAAUAAGCUAGCACUGGCUGCCUAGAGCAGUCACGUUCAUCAGCGCCGAUCCCCGAAGGUGUUGAAUGGGCGCCAAUAGACGGGGUGCAGCCAGUAUGACGCCGAUGCUGCUGGCUAAAGACAAUCGGCUAGGCUGAUCUCGAUCCGGGCCGGAACAGGUCCUGAACAGCUAAAAAUUAUUUCCGGAUAAACCUGUAGUACAUCUCGAUCGGUGUAUCUUCUGGACGGGGAGUUCGACCCUCCCCCGUCUCCACCA